ACAAUAGUAAACUUCGCUUGAAAAACACACUGCUAUUCAGCUGGUUCACAACUCUUCUAAAAUAUUUCCUCUGUCUCCAUCCCAUGGAGGGCCGCUCCCUUGCCUUGCCGUCCAGCCACUCCUACGCCGCCUACCUCUCGUCGAGGGGCGCCUCCCUCGCCGUCCAGCGCCGCCCCCUCGCCGUCUAGCGGCUCCAGUGCCGCCUCCAUCCCGAUCGACGGGCGCCUCCCUCGCCGUCUAGCCACCCCAGCGCCGCCUCUCUCCCCGUUGACUGGGUCCUCCCUCGCCAUCCAGAUCUGCUUCCCUCGCCGUCCAGAUCUGAUCCCCACGCCGGCCAGCCGCCUCACCCUUCUGUCUCCCUCCCAGUCCAGCUCCUCCCACUGCCGAGUCAAGUCUUGGCGAACUACAACCGACCUGAGGAGAGGAAGACCCAAAAAAGAAAUCUGAGAGAAACAUAAAUUGGAAACUAGAGGAGUUCUGGGCAACUUUAUUAGUCUGAAUCCCUUGAGAGUUCAGCAGUAGCCGCAAUGGGUCCGAGGCUAGCAUGUCAGCUACCACGGCAAGGAAGGAGGCAAGUUUCCCGCUACAUUCAUCCUCUGCAGGUAUAUUGUUCUUUAUAGUCUAUAAGAUUAAUAGAAUAUACGCACAAUUUGGAAUGGCCGACAUUGUAGGAUAAAUUAGUUCUGUAUUAAUUUUGAGGCUCCCUUCUUAUCUUCUGUUUACAAUUACAGUCUGAAACUCUAAAUGUAAUACACAUGCACCAAGCCUUAUUACCAGGAAACACGUGGAAUGUGAGGCGGCGGCGAAGCAUUAGCUAGCGCGGGUGCGUCACCUCUGUGGUAUUGUGGGCAAUCACGGUUUUGGCAAGCUCACUGGAAUCAAGUGAGGGCAGUGAGAUAACGAUGAAUGUGGCAGCGAGAAAUGAUGGUUCUCCUGAUCUUCCUUUCUGUGGUAUCUUCUAAGGCAUCCCUGAUAUGUCUCUUUUUGGUUCUUAAAUUAUUCUUGCUAUGAAUAGUUCAUCUCCUAAAUAUAUCUUAAUUGUGUUUGUCUCUAGGAGCGCGACAUCGUAACCCAGACAAGUUCUUUCCAGAUUUAGAUAUGUAGCUCAACAUUAAAAUCGCAACUUCGUGAGAUUCUAAACCUGAAGGGAGAGCACUACGUAGCGUUCCUAUUUGAUAGCUCUCUUUGUCAUAUCUCAUUUGAUAGCUACAUCCAUGCCGGUGCUAAAUGCUUUUUACUUGGUUGCGCUGCUGAAAUUGAGCUGAAUUACACUUCUACAACUUUGUAGCUAUAUGUGAGCCUCCCACUAAUUUUUUGACAGUUGCUUCGUUAGGUACACUCAUCAUUCAUGGUUUUUUAUUACAGUUUCUAAGCAUACAUGAUAUGCUUACCAACAGGUUCGUGGUAAUACUGUCUUCAAACAUUUCAAAGCUUAAGACAUGGCAAACUGAUGAGUUGGAAAACUUUAUGAUGCUAUCACCAAUUCAUUUUAAGCAUACAUAUAUAGCAGUUCUUAAUUCUUGGUGAUCAAAAUGCGGAUGAUUUAAGGUACUAAGUGAUGUUCUAACAUAUUUUGCACUUACCUAUGUUGUUUUACAUAUGCCCAUUAUUUUCUAUUCAUGUUCAUAUAACAAAAUCUCAUCGAAAUAUUGGCAAGAAAUUCCCGCAGCAACGCGUUUGGUCAAUGGUAUACCUUCUGGGGGUUCUUCUUUGCAACUUUGAUUGGGAAGACCAGCAUCAAGACUCGUAUUCAGGUGGAUGAAUCUUCCCAAGCCUAAGAGCUUGCUGGUACUCUGUUUGGCAGCUUCUUCCCAUGCUGAGAAGACCAUGGUGCUACUCCGACCAAGGAGAAUCAUUUAGGAAUGUAUUUUCUGACUGUUCAGCUUUGUUUGUCUUUUGGAGGGGCUAAAUGGAGCAGCUCUUGUUCUUUUUAAGUUUUUGGGAACCAUGAGUUGGAAUAUCAUUUUGUGAACAAUCAAAGAUAUUGCAAUGAAUGUGAUCUUAUUUA